rnacentral:rRNA from 1 species
UACGUAGAAGACUAGUGUUAUUCAUCUUUAGUAGGUUUAAAGGGUACCUAGACGGUAUAAUUAGUCUUAAAUAGGAUACGGUUAUACUAGAGUUAUAUAUAAGAAGGCGAGUACUUAAGAUGUAGAGUUUGAAAAUUUUGUUGAUAUCUUGAAGACUGAUAAAAGGCGAAAAGCAACCUUUUAUCUAAUAACUGACGUUGAGGGACGAAAGGCUCGGGUCACGAACAGG